rnacentral:rRNA from 1 species
UCGCUAGCCAUGCGAGUCAUAUGUUCUUCGUGAACAUGGCGUACUGCUCAGUAACACGUGGAUAACCUGCCCUUGGGUCCGGCAUAACCCCGGGAAACUGGGGAUAAUUCCGGAUAACGCAUAUAUGCUGGAAUGCUUUCUGCGUAAAAUGGAUUCGUCUGCCCAAGGAUGGGUCUGCGGCCUAUCAGGUAGUAGUGGGUGUAAUGUACCUACUAGCCGACGACGGGUACGGGUUGUGAGAGCAAGAGCCCGGAGAUGGAUUCUGAGACAUGAAUCCAGGCCCUACGGGGCGCAGCAGGCGCGAAAACUUUACAAUGCGGGAAACCGUGAUAAGGGGACACCGAGUGCCAGCAUCAUAUGCUGGCUGUCCGGGUGUGUAAAAUACACCCGUUAGCAAGGGCCGGGCAAGACCGGUGCCAGCCGCCGCGGUAACACCGGCGGCCCGAGUGGUGAUCGUGAUUAUUGGGUCUAAAGGGUCCGUAGCCGGUUUGGUCAGUCCUCCGGGAAAUCUGAUAGCUCAACUAUUAGGCUUUCGGGGGAUACUGCCAGGCUUGGAACCGGGAGAGGUAAGAGGUACUACAGGGGUAGGAGUGAAAUCUUGUAAUCCCUGUGGGACCACCUGUGGCGAAGGCGUCUUACCAGAACGGGUUCGACGGUGAGGGACGAAAGCUGGGGGCACGAACCGGAUUAGAUACCCGGGUAGUCCCAGCCGUAAACGAUGCUCGCUAGGUGUCAGGCAUGGCGCGACCGUGUCUGGUGCCGCAGGGAAGCCGUGAAGCGAGCCACCUGGGAAGUACGGCCGCAAGGCUGAAACUUAAAGGAAUUGGCGGGGGAGCACAACAACGGGUGGAGCCUGCGGUUUAAUUGGACUCAACGCCGGACAACUCACCGGGGGCGACAGCAAUAUGUAGGCCAAGCUGAAGACUUUGCCUGAAUC